CUCAUUUCAAUAUUAAUAAUUCAAAAAUCAUUAUCAAAUUAUUAUAGGAUGUAUUAUUAAGGGGGAGGAUCACAAACAAAUUCACUCUGAGUUUAUCAAAAGAGAUCAUGUUGAUUAGGGUGAUUAAACAAAAAUUGGGAAAAGAUAGAGUUCAGUCUGAAAUUUUUUCAGUGCCGGAGACUGUUGGAAUCCCUCGCACGCCGUAGAAAAUUUCAGAAAAAUUCUGCGCGCAGCGGAAUACAUGCGCGAGAUUCCGUUCAUCUCAUGAACGUAUUUUAAAACCGAUGUUCGUAGAUAGAUUAGGAUUAAAUACUUUUACAUAAUAUUAGGAAGAUCAGAUCUUCACCUUGUGCGGGUAGAUAUUCACCGCAAUCUGAUGAUCGUGGUAUUUGUUGAAAGGUUCACUUGAAGCCGCACACGCGUCCGGCCUCUACGGGUAUCCACACGAGGCAGAGAACCAAUCCAAACUCUCUAAUCUCCCUGGGGUGCUAGCUCCCUUGCAGAGAUAUAUUUUGAUGGCUGAAAUCCUCUCUUGAUUUAUCAACUCUUUGAUAGAUCUCAAGAG
rnacentral:lncRNA from 1 species